rnacentral:lncRNA from 1 species
AAUGGAUAAAGAAGAUAUGGUAUUUAUUCAAUGGAAUAUUACUCAGCGAUAAAAAAGAAUGAAAUACCAUUUGCAGCAACAUGGACGGACCUAGAGAUUAUCCCACUUAAAUGAGAAAGAGAAAGACAAAUUCCUUAUGAUAUCACUUAUACAUGGAAUCGAAAAUAUGACACAAACAAACUUAUUUGCAAAACAGAAACAUACUGAUAUAUACAGAAAACAAACUUAUGGUUACCAAAAGGGAAAGGAAGUUGAGGAGGGAUAAAUUAGGGAGUUUGGAAUUAGCAGAUACAAGCUUAUAUAUAAAAGAGAUAAACAGUAAGGUCUUAACGUAUAACACAGGGGACUACAUUCAAUAUCCUAGAUUAAACCAUAAUGGAAAAGAAAGUGAAAAAGAACGUAUGUAUAACUGAAUCACUUUGUUGUACACCAGAAAGUAACACACUAGAAAUUAAUUACACUUCAAGUCUAAAAGAUUUUUUUUAAAAAAAAAAUGUUACUAGAGCUGUUCCAAGUCCUUGCCCAGAAACUUCUAACCCCCACUUCUACCAGGAGUGAACAGAAAUCUUAAGUUAAAGGGUCCAAAGAUAAGAAAGGAAGCUACCAAAACCAAAAUAAAACAAAUAAAACACACACACACACACAAGGCACCUCAGAUGGAACCAGCUGGGACCAAGAUGGAGAUGAACCUGACCGGCGACAGCUGAGCCUCAUUAUACAUUUUUUUUUACUCUGUUAGCAUAUUGGAUAACACUUACCAGGGACCAUGAACAGACAUUAAGGAUGAAUAAGGGAUAAAAAGGGGGUGGUACCCCACCCCCAGGAAAAGGCCCUGCCGCUUCCCCAGCAGACUGAUGUAUAAGCUUCCCCAUCAUUAACCUCACUCUUCCUCCCUUUGUCUUUACUCUUUAAAAUCUAACCCCUCUUGCCGAGUGGGUGAGAAGUUGACUGUGAAAUUAGUUCCCGCUUUUCCUUUCUUUGGCCAUUGAAAAAAGCUUGCGCUGUGUCAAUCUCAGCUUUGGUUUCAUUACUGGCUGCCCCAACCAGAACAGAAAAAGAAACUCCCCCUGCCAAGACAGAGAGCCUCAGCCACCAAGUGGGGGCCAUAUGACUUAAUUUGGUAACAGAAGGAACCACAACACAAUGGGUCUGAGGAGGGGAGCCAUGAUUUAAUCAAACCCCAUACCUCCCAGAUGGACAACCCAUAAACUGGAGAAUAAUUGUAUUGCAAAGAUUCUCCCACAGGAGUGAGAGUUCUGAGUCCCACAUCAGGCUCCCCAGCCCGGGGUCCGGCCCUGUGAAUAUAAGUCUCCAAAGCAUUUGGCUUUGAAGGCCCUGAGCGGGGUGGGGGCAGUAACUGCAGGAGCUGCACAGGCCUGGGGGAAACAGAGACUCCACUCUUAACAGGCACACAAAAUCCCACACGCAGCAGGACGCAGGGCAAAGCAGUAAUCUGAUAGAAGCGUGGGCCAGACCUACCUGCUGGUCUUGGAGAGUCUCCUGGAGAGGCCGCUCUGGCUUGCCCUGGGGACACAGCAGUGGCAGCAGCCUUUCCUAUGAGCUGCUUCUACAGCCUGGAUGUGAAUCCAGGGCUGGCGGGCGCCAUUUUGAAAAUCUCCCUCCAGCUCAUUAGCCCAACAGCCUGCAGGUGCUGGGAUGCUUCAGGCCAAACAACUAAGUGGGUGGGGACACUGGCCCAGACAUCGGCAGGCAGGCUGCCUAACAGCCUCUAGAGCCCACAAUUGCCUCUAGACAAAGUCUGUACAGGGCCCUACCCACCAGAGAGCCAGGAUUGAGCUCUACCCACCAGGAGGCAGGCACCAGCCUUUCCCACCAGGGAGCCUGCACAGGUUUCUAGACCAGCCUCAGCCACCGAUGGGUAGAUACCAGCCACUGAGCCCACCGCUGGCAAGAUAGGCCCUACCCUGGGACAGCUGGGCCCUGGCCCUGCCCACUAGCAGGCCAAUGCAAACUUUGGGAUACCCAGGAUCCUAUCUCCAUCUGCCAGGAACUGGUACCCAUCUCCCCCCUCCACCCCCCGCACCAAUCUAAAACAAGCUCUGAGAUCCCUGGAUCCUGCAGCCAGACUCCAGGAACCAGCUCUGCCUGCCAGUAGCCCAGCACUAGCCCCAGAAUAUUCAGGACGCUGGCUCCACCCACCAGUGAGUCAGCACCAGCCCCAAGGUCCCCAGAAUUCCAGAACAGCCAUGUUAUAACCAGGCCCCACUAUACAGCAGCCAGCAGCAUCCACACAAGGCAGAGCGUGGCAACCAAACAGACCAGGCACCCACCAAGCCUACCAGACCACCCACAUGGUCAGCCUGCUACAAUGGAAGGACCCACGCCACCCUCUUAGGGGGAUUCCCUACAGCAUAUAGCUUAGGUGACAAGAGGGGAGUGCACCAUUGGGACACAUAGGACACCUCCUACAGAGGCUACUUCUCCAAGAUCAGGAAACAUAACUAACCUGCCACAGACAUAAAAAAUACAAAUAGCAACGGAGACAGAACGAGGGGGCAGAGGAACAUGUUCCACAUGAAGGAACAAGAUAAAGCUCCAGAAGAACUAACUGAAGUGGAGACUGGCAAUCUACCCCAAAGAGUUCAGAGUAAUGAUUGUAAAGAUGAUCAAAGAACUCAGGAGAACAGAUGCAGAGAGUGAGGAGUUAGAAGUUUUUAACAGAGUUAGAAAAUAAAAGAGAACAGAGAUGGAGAAUACAAAUCUGAAAUGAAAAAAAAAAAUACACUAGAAGAAAUCAAAAGUAAACUAAAAUCAAAAUCAAAAGUAAAAGUGAUUGAGAAGAAUGGACAAAUAAGCUGGAAGACAGACCCAUGGAAAUCAUUGCCAAGGAAUAGAAGAAAAAAAAAGAAUGAAAAGAGGACUUCCUGCUGUGGUGCACUGAGUUAAUGACCCAGCUUGUCUCUGUGGCGGUGCAGGUUCCAUCCCCAGCCUGGCUGGUUUAAGGAUCUGGCACGGCUGUGGCUCAGCUUCGAUCCCCGGCCCAGGAACUUCCAUAUGCCAUGAGUGCAGCAGCAACAA